ACUGGUUGGAAGACGGCAACAAAAAGGGGACCUCCUCUGUCAAUGCACCAAAUUUGAAGGGAGAAGGAGAUGCCUGAUGCCACAAGGCCCUGCAUAUAGAAAUCAUGAGCAUGUCGAAAUAACACCAUAAAAAUUAAAGCAUAAAGGAUGGUGCAGAGCUCUCCUCCAGAAUGGACUUUCCAUUUGUCAAUGUCAGUUUCAGUGAAGGCUGCUAUGACCAAGAACUGGAUCAGCCCAAAGAAGCAGGUGAAUGUGGUGACUGAUAGCCUUGCUGGAUACUGCUUUAGCACUGGGACCUGCUCACACGAUUCAUUGAUUUAGGACCAUAAACCAACUUCCAUAUGAAAGGGAAUUUUUUUUAUAGAUGACUACAUAAGCGCGGGAAAAAAAGGAUUAUCAUAUUUCACAUUUUGACCA